rnacentral:rRNA from 1 species
UACGUAGGGGGCAAGCGUUGUCCGGAUUUAUUGGGCGUAAAGAGCGUGUAGGCGGCCUUACAGGUCAGCUGUGAAAACUCGAGGCUCAACCUCGAGACGUCGGUUGAAACCGUAAGGCUAGAGUCCGGAAGAGGAGAGUGGAAUUCCCGGUGUAGCGGUGAAAUGCGCAGAUAUCGGGAGGAACACCAGUGGCGAAGGCGACUACCUGGCCUGUUUCUUGACGCUGAGGCGCGAAAGCUAGGGGAGCAAACGGG